GGAGUUCAGACGUGUGCUCUUCCGAUCUUGACGGUACCUGAAGAAUAAGCACCGGCUAACUACGUGCCAGCAGCCGCGGUAAUACGUAGGGUGCAAGCGUUAUCCGGAAUUAUUGGGCGUAAAGGGCUCGUAGGCGGUUCGUCGCGUCCGGUGUGAAAGUCCAUCGCUUAACGGUGGAUCUGCGCCGGGUACGGGCGGGCUGGAGUGCGGUAGGGGAGACUGGAAUUCCCGGUGUAACGGUGGAAUGUGUAGAUAUCGGGAAGAACACCAAUGGCGAAGGCAGGUCUCUGGGCCGUUACUGACGCUGAGGAGCGAAAGCGUGGGGAGCGAACAGGAUUAGAUACCCUGGUAGUCCACGCCGUAAACGGUGGAUGCUGGAUGUGGGGCCCGUUCCACGGGUUCCGUGUCGGAGCUAACGCGUUAAGCAUCCCGCCUGGGGAGUACGGCCGCAAGGCUAAAACUCAAAGAAAUUGACGGGGGCCCGCACAAGCGGCGGAGCAUGCGGAUUAAUUCGAUGCAACGCGAAGAACCUUACCUGGGCUUGACAUGUUCCCGACAGCCGUAGAGAUAUGGCCUCCCUUCGGGGCGGGUUCACAGGUGGUGCAUGGUCGUCGUCAGCUCGUGUCGUGAGAUGUUGGGUUAAGUCCCGCAACGAGCGCAACCCUCGCCCUGUGUUGCCAGCACGUCAUGGUGGGAACUCACGGGGGACCGCCGGGGUCAACUCGGAGGAAGGUGGGGAUGACGUCAGAUCAUCAUGCCCCUUACGUCCAGGGCUUCACGCAUGCUACAAUGGCCGGUACAACGGGAUGCGACACGGCGACGUGGAGCGGAUCCCUGAAAACCGGUCUCAGUUCGGAUUGGAGUCUGCAACCCGACUCCAUGAAGGCGGAGUCGCUAGUAAUCGCGGAUCAGCAACGCCGCGGUGAAUGCGUUCCCGGGCCUUGUACACACCGCCCGUCAAGUCAUGAAAGUGGGCAGCACCCGAAGCCGGUGGCCUAACCCCUUGUGGGAUGGAGCCGUCUAAGGUGAGGCUCGUGAUUGGGACUAAGUCGUAACAAGGUAGCCGUACCGGAAGGUGCGGCUG
rnacentral:rRNA from 1 species